rnacentral:rRNA from 1 species
UACGUAGGGUGCGAGCGUUGUCCGGAAUUACUGGGCGUAAAGAGCUCGUAGGCGGUGUGUCGCGUCGGCCGUGAAAACCUGCAGCUUAACUGUGGGCGUGCGGUCGAUACGGGCAUCACUGGAGUUCGGCAGGGGAGACUGGAAUUCCUGGUGUAGCGGUGAAAUGCGCAGAUAUCAGGAGGAACACCGGUGGCGAAGGCGGCUUUCUGGACAGUAACUGACGCUGAUGCGCGAAAGCUAGGGGAGCAAACAGG